CAUGAUUGAAUUCAUUUUCAUAAAACAAACAGUAACACAAAUUAGAUUUAAUGCUUAUUAAGAACAACUGAACAUUUUCAGUUAAUAAAAAUGCUUGUAACGCACAUUUUCUCAAGCAAAUUUCAACAAGUUCUUCUUGCUUAAGAUACUAAAAACCGUCUUUUUUAAAAGGCCAGAACUGUUUUGUCACAUGGGGGUCUUAAUAUUUUAAGUUAUAAUUUGCUUUUUUAAAAAACAGCAAAUAAGAUUUAAAUCGCAGAAUGCUAUUAAAGUUCGUUCAUGUUGCGAAGGUUCCCCGGUUAACCUUACCAAGCUCACAAAAGCUCUGGUUCUUCACGAUCUUCUCCGCAUUUUCAACUUUAUAUGAUCAAGGUUAAUUCAAUCAAUAUUAUUGGACAGAUCAAUUUAAUUACAGUGACAUCAUAAAUAGAAGCUAACAAACUUACAAUAGGAAUUGUUAACGAUUCUUCACUAAAAGUAAAGUACUCUCUACACUUCAAAUGAAGCAAAUUAUAUAGGUUUUUUUCGUGCUUCUUUUCAUGUUCCUUUGUUCGAUUUUUUAUUUUUUUAUUGACUGCUCUGAAAGGCAUUUUAAGGAAAAAUAUUUUAUUUUUUUGGAAGCAAUGCCUUUAAGUUCACUAGAUCGUUCUGGAGCGAUGUAGCUUGGUAUUGAAUUUGUAAACAUUAGUAUAUUCCAAAAUGUUACCCUAAAAGUUUAGAAAGAAAAUGUACGCAAUGAUGUUAAGGCUGGUGCUAACUUUUGAUAGAGACGUUAGGACUUAAUAAUUACAACUUUCGUUAUUCCGCCGAAUUUAAUUUUAUGAAUUGCUACGGUACCAGAAUAUUAUCGUUCUAUUUGAGUUAACAGGAAAUCUAAUACGCGAAUGAAACUAGUAAAGUCUAGGUGAAUGUCAAUUUGACGAAGCAUUGCACGGUUUUGCAACGAUAUUUUAUUUGAUAUAAAGCCAUAUUUUUUAACACUCUAAUUUCAAGUAAACAUCUAAUCAUACUUACCCUCCUCGAAUGCUAACGCUUUUUUUUCUUAGAAAUUUGAUCACUUUAUAUCCCGAAGCCUUUACGUUUGAUUUUCUUUUUAAUAUACUGUAUGAGUUAUUUUAAAUCUAUUUGUUGUACUGCGCCAUAUAAUCUAAUCAUAUUCAUUUCCAAAAAUUUAAGUAUUCAUUCAUUA